GUCGAGACGGAAACGAUGGUAGCUUGCUACCAGGCGUCGAGUCGGCGGACGGGUGAGUAAUACUUAGGAAUCUACCUAGUAGUGGGGGAUAGCUCGGGGAAACUCGAAUUAAUACCGCAUACGACCUACGGGAGAAAGGGGGCAGUUUACUGCUCUCGCUAUUAGAUGAGCCUAAGUCGGAUUAGCUAGAUGGUGGGGUAAAGGCCUACCAUGGCGACGAUCUGUAGCUGGUCUGAGAGGAUGAUCAGCCACACCGGGACUGAGACACGGCCCGGACUCCUACGGGAGGCAGCAGUGGGGAAUAUUGGACAAUGGGGGAAACCCUGAUCCAGCCAUGCCGCGUGUGUGAAGAAGGCCUUUUGGUUGUAAAGCACUUUAAGCAGUGAAGAAGACUCCGUGGUUAAUACCCACGGACGAUGACAUUAGCUGCAGAAUAAGCACCGGCUAACUCUGUGCCAGCAGCCGCGGUAAUACAGAGGGUGCAAGCGUUAAUCGGAAUUACUGGGCGUAAAGGGAGCGUAGGUGGCUCGAUAAGUCAGAUGUGAAAUCCCCGGGCUCAACCUGGGAACUGCAUCUGAUACUGUUGAGCUAGAGUAUGUGAGAGGAAGGUAGAAUUCCAGGUGUAGCGAUGAAAUGCGUAGAGAUCUGGAGGAAUACCGAUGGCGAAGGCAGCCUCCUGGCAUAAUACUGACACUGAGGCUCGAAAGCGUGGGUAGCAAACAGGAUUAGAUACCCUGGUAGUCCACGCCGUAAACGAUGUCUACUAGUCGUUGGGUCCCUUGAGGACUUAGUGACGCAGCUAACGCAAUAAGUAGACCGCCUGGGGAGUACGGCCGCAAGGUUAAAACUCAAAUGAAUUGACGGGGGCCCGCACAAGCGGUGGAGCAUGUGGUUUAAUUCGAUGCAACGCGAAGAACCUUACCUGGUCUUGACAUAUCUAGAAUCCUGCAGAGAUGCGGGAGUGCCUUCGGGAAUUAGAAUACAGGUGCUGCAUGGCUGUCGUCAGCUCGUGUCGUGAGAUGUUGGGUUAAGUCCCGCAACGAGCGCAACCCUUGUCCUUAGUUACCAGCGGGUUAAGCUGGGAACUCUAAGGAUACUGCCAGUGACAAACUGGAGGAAGGCGGGGACGACGUCAAGUCAUCAUGGCCCUUACGACCAGGGCUACACACGUGCUACAAUGGUAGGUACAGAGGGCAACUACACAGCGAUGUGAUGCGAAUCUCAAAAAGCCUAUCGUAGUCCAGAUUGGAGUCUGCAACUCGACUCCAUGAAGUAGGAAUCGCUAGUAAUCGCGGAUCAGAAUGCCGCGGUGAAUACGUUCCCGGGCCUUGUACACACCGCCCGUCACACCAUGGGAGUUGAUUGCACCAGAAGUGGA
rnacentral:rRNA from 1 species